rnacentral:rRNA from 1 species
UACAGAGGUCCCAAGCGUUGUUCGGAUUCACUGGGCGUAAAGGGUGCGCAGGUGGGUUUGCAAGUUCGAUGUGAAAGCCCCGGGCUUAACCCGGGAAUGGCAUUGGAUACUGCAGAUCUGGAGGAUCGGAGGGGGGACUGGAAUUCUUGGUGUAGCAGUGAAAUGCUUAGAUAUCAAGAGGAACACCAGUGGCGAAGGCGAGUCCCUGGACGAUACCUUACACUGAGGCACGAAAGCUAGGGGAGCAAACAGG